GACGGAAGUCUGAACCAGCCAAGUAGCGUGCAGGAUUGACGGCCCUAUGGGUUGUAAACUGCUUUUGUUGGGGAGUAAAGUGGGGCACGCGUGCCUUUUUGCAUUUACCCUUCGAAUAAGGACCGGCUAAUUCCGUGCCAGCAGCCGCGGUAAUACGGAAGGUCCAGGCGUUAUCCGGAUUUAUUGGGUUUAAAGGGAGUGUAGGCGGUCUGUUAAGCGUGUUGUGAAAUUUAGGUGCUCAACAUCUACCUUGCAGCGCGAACUGGCGGACUUGAGUGCACGCAACGUAUGCGGAAUUCAUGGUGUAGCGGUGAAAUGCUUAGAUAUCAUGACGAACUCCGAUUGCGAAGGCAGCGUACGGGAGUGUUACUGACGCUUAAGCUCGAAGGUGCGGGUAUCGAACAGGAUUAGAUACCCUGGUAGUCCGCACGGUAAACGAUGGAUGCCCGCUGUUAGCGCCUGGCGUUAGCGGCUAAGCGAAAGCAUUAAGCAUCCCACCUGGGGAGUACGCCAGCAACGGUGAAACUCAAAGGAAUUGACGGGGGCCC
rnacentral:rRNA from 1 species